UUUUGAUUUCUGUGUAGACUACAUCAUGUUCACCACCCAAAGUCUACUUGCCAUCUAUCACUGUACGCAUGUUCUGUGUCACACCUUUC